UCGGAGCCUCCUUAUUUCAGAUAGAUU
rnacentral:sRNA from 1 species